rnacentral:rRNA from 1 species
AUAACAUCCGGAAACGGGUGCUAAUACCGCAUAGUUUCUUGAUCGCAUGAUCGGGAAAGGAAAGACGGCCUUUGUGCUGUCGCUUAUGGAUGGACCCGCGGCGUAUUAGUUAGUUGGUGAGGUAACGGCUCACCAAGACGAUGAUACGUAGCCGACCUGAGAGGGUGAUCGGCCACAUUGGGACUGAGACACGGCCCAAACUCCUACGGGAGGCAGCAGUAGGGAAUCUUCCGCAAUGGACGAAAGUCUGACGGAGCAACGCCGCGUGAGUGAAGAAAAGGGUUCUCGGAUUGUAAAACUCUGUUGUCAGAGAAGAACAAGUUGGAGAGUAACUGCUCCAGCCUUGACGGUAUCUGACCAGAAAGCCACGGCUAACUACGUGCCAGCCGCGGC